rnacentral:rRNA from 1 species
GACGAACGCUGGCGGCGUGCUUAACACAUGCAAGUCGAACGGAAAGGCCCUGCUUUUGUGGGGUGCUCGAGUGGCGAACGGGUGUGUAACACGUGAGUAACCUGCCCUUGACUUUGUGAUAACUUCAGGAAACUGGGGCUAAUACCGGAUAGGAGCUCCUGCUGCAUGGUGGUGGUUGGAAAGUUUCGGCGGUUGUGGAUCGACUCGCGGCUUAUCAGCUGGUUGGUGGGGUAGUGGCUUACCAAGGCUUUGACGGGUAGCCGGCCUGAGAGGGUGAACGGCGACAUUGGUACUGAGGUACGGCGCAGACUGCUACGGGAGGCAGCAGUGGGGAAUAUUGCACAAUGGGCGGAAGCCUGAUGCAGAAACGCCGCGUGCGGGAUGACGGCCUACGGGUUGUAAACCGCUUUCGCCUGUGACGAAGCGUGAGUGACGGUAAUGGGUAAAGAAGCACCGGCUAACUACGUG